AGUAGAGUGUGAGUGAAAGUCAUGUAACUUGUCGGACUGAAUCGCGAUGUAUACGCAGUGUUUACAAACAAAUGUGUAGCUGGUGUCUGACAUUAUCUACCCAACAGUCUUGGCCAAGAUACUCAUGCUGCAUAUUUUCUGCGAGCAGCUGAAGAUACUUCUACUCGAAGUUUGUUGUACAGUUGUUCACGUUUGUUUGUUUAUUAGCUCAUUAGCUGAACGUGUGUUGUUAGCAUUCAUUAGCACAGUGAAUGGACUUGUAGCCACUGUGUAGCUAACCCAGCUUAUGCUAAAGGUCUUAGUUCAUCGUUUUCGACGUGGAAACCAUGAGGAUUUAUUGGACAGUGCUAUGAGCUACUAAGUCAACAUUCAGAGAGACUUUUCACUACGUGGGCCGGACCCGCCAUCUUGGGACUUCAGCGUGUAUCCUGUUCCCUCCCGGAGACCGAGGCUGGUAUAAACUGCUGAAUGGAGUCAGACUUCAUGACCAAGUAUAGAUGACAUGCCAUCGGCAGCCGUGUUAAUACGAGAGACAUAUCUUCAAACAUCAGGCUGUUUCCAUGCCUGAAAGUGAUACAGCUGUGGACUGAUUCUCUUUUUCAUUGUGCUCUUAACUGUUUUAGCAGAGGAAGAACUUUUCAACCUGGUAAAAACAUUUCAUAGGUCAGAUGUGAAGAUGAGGACAGAAGGACAGAAAAUCUGCAAGCAAGGAUCAGAAAUAUCCACUUCACAAUGUAAAUUAGACCAGCAUAGUCAUCUCAGUUGUAUUUCUAAGGGAUCUUUUUUAUUUUUUUAUUUUUUGCAAUUUUUGAGUAAGAACAAAGGGAAAAAAAGUUUGUCAUGCCAAGCACAAAUACAAAAGUAAAUCACAGCAUUAAGCAAACAAAAUAACUCCAGAGAUGCAUGAAAUAUUACAGUUGAUACAAUAUAUUUUUCUUUACAGCUUUCUUAUGCUAUAAAUUCUGUUCUCACAAACUGUUUCCCCAAACCUUUUCAACAUGAGUGUCAGGGAUCCCCUCCGGACAUGUUUUAAAACACAUUAAAAAACACUCUUUGAAUAAUUAACUAGUAAUUUCUUAUUUAUUUGAAACAGCAGAAUGACCAUCAUAUAGUGAGACAGACUUUACAGAAAAUAUGAGUAAACAGUUCCAUGUGUAAAUAUAGUAUAAAAAAUACAAUGCAUUAUAAUAAUUAAAAAAAAACAACAUUAAAACAUUUUACAAAAUUUUGGAGUCAAACAUUUCUAGGGGUGUUGGGGGUGAUUGUAAAAUUCACUCGGUGUUGUAAAGUGACUAAGUACAGUUACACAGGUAUAAUACCUAAAAACAAUUGACUGGUAAUUUACGAGAGUGUUCACAAUUUAUGCUACUUAGCACCUUUACGAGAAAAAUAGAACACUUUUUUUCUCCACUUCAUUUGUUUGACAGCAAUGCUUAAUAGUUACUUUGCAGAAAUUACAAUGUUGAGUAUUUUUACACCGUAGUAUUGCCACUCUCACUUCAGUAAAUGAUCUGAGUACUUCCACUACUGACUUCAAUCAUAUAUCUCAGAUAUUGAGGGAAUAGUGAACAUAAUAUCACACUUUUAUAAAUGCUGACCUAAACACAGAGGAAUGCUAGAGGAAUAUUGCUUACUUCCUAUAUUCUUCCUAUGUACCUCAUGUGUAAGUGGUAGUAAUGCAAUGAAAUGAAUGUAUAACACUCUUUUUGCAGUAUUGUUUUAAUCAUUAUUAAUGUAGUAUUACUUCCAAACAUCAUAAUUUCUUGCAUGUCUUUUUUUAAAGGCUCCCUACCUAUCUAAAGUCCCUAAAAUGUGUCCCAUGUUCUGACCCCAUCACCUCUCUUCCUUUGUCUUCUCUGAUCAUUUUUCUUACUUGAACCUGUCCAUAAAGUCCCUCCCAGACACAGAGCAUCUCUCUGAGGCCCUGAAGAGCUCUCUUUACUUCCACACCACUAUCAUAAUUCCACAUCUGUCCUCCUCUCCCUCAUCAUCAUUUACAUUUUCAAAUCUGCAUUUUUCAUAUAGAUCCCACCUUACUCUAAUUUUAAUAUCACUGUUAUUUCCCAUGACACCUUUUGUUUUAUUAUACAUUAUGAAUUUCUCCCUCUCUCUGUCUCUCUCUCCUCUGCGUUACUUUCUCCUGCUCACUCCCCCUUCCCCUCACCCUUUCCUCUUCUAAUCCCUGUGCCCACACCGCGCUUAUGAGCUGAAAUAUUUUAUCAGGUGGAACCCUCAGUCAAACUUAUCAUUUUAAUCUUAUUUCAAUAAAAAAAAUAAUCUCUCUUCUUGGCUGUUUGACAGCAGCUAAUGGUUUUUCGUUAUCGUAAAGGAAACUUUGAGGACUGAGAUAGACUGCCAAAAAAAUGCAAAAAAGCUCUCCUGUAUAUUCCUCCCCAGAUGAUUCAUAAAGCAUGCACUAAGAGCAGGUAACAUAUGAAGCAGGAGGACAAAAGCUUGCCACGUGGAUUCAUGCAUGUGUGCAUUUACAUAUUCCUGCGGCCUCUGAAGCUCACUACGACUGUUUUAGAAGCCUGUAUUGUGAUGCAUUGUUUCUUCUUGGUAUUCAGAGCCACUCGUGGCACAGCUACCACUCUCACAUGUCAGUUUUUUGUCCUCUACCUUCAUCAAAAUGUCACGAACUUGAGAGCCUUGACACGUAAACACACCCACAUGUUACAUGACACAUGGAUAUCCCUCCAUCUCAGUGGCAGCGUGUGCUGUGUUUUUCUUUGAGUUGGAUCUCAAGUCUAAUACAAUUCUCACUUGCCUUUUCAUGAUUCAAAAAAAGGGGAGCUACAUCCACAGUCCUUGCUCCAUGCAAAAAUCCAUUCUAAAGUCUGACCUAGCAAAAUCAAGUGGGUAUCCUCCAAAGUUAAUACAAAAUCCCUCCUUUGGACAUCCACAAAGAGGCUCCAGGAAGCAUCCUAAUAAGAUGCCCAAUCCACCAUAAGAGGGUCCCUUCAACAAGCAACACUUCCACUCUGGUCUUGAAGAGUAGUCUCCAUCAAAGUUUGACAUUUUGUAUGGACACAAAGACGACGACAGGAGCUUACUGUGAAAAAUAUAAUCCACAGAAACUUUGUGAAGACAACCGGUUGUUUGUCCCCUACCACUCCACCUGACAAAUUGCUUCACAGCGCUGCCGGACAAAGCCCUGGACCACCCAGGUGAUGCUGGCAAAACCUUCCCAGAUCCAGACUGUGUCCCCACUGGAGUGUCUCCUGAUCCUGCUCACUGCCCAGUGGCAUCUGCUACUGAUAGAUCCAGCAGUAGUAGUGUGAGAUCUUAUGUCAAAACUGCAUCACACAUCUCCUCUGCUGCCACUGUCCUCUAGUUGUGGCUGUGGUGGUUCUCGUGACAACCCCUCCUCUCACUUCACUUCGACAAAGCAGCGAACCAGUUCUGCCACAGACAGGUUGGCUCCCUCUACAUCCCUCGGUCACCAACAGCCAGGUAAUCUGCACUUUUCUCUGCCUCCAAAUAGCUGGGUAAGCCCUGCAGCGUCAUCCACAGUCAAUCCACAAAUCCUGGUUAUUGGCUUAUUAUCUGACUUCAUUGUCAGACAUGUCAGUUCCAGUUUGGUUAAAAUGUACUGUUAUCCAGGUGCCAGUGUUCUGGAUAUAGCACAAAAGGUGCCAUCUAUCCUUAAAAGGCACCCUACUGUGAAACGACUCAUCAUUCAUGCUGGAACAAAUUAUAUCUCAUGUCGGCAAUCUGAACUGCUGAAGGCUGACUUUGUUAAUCUUUUUAAUGUAAUUCAUACAUCCAACGCUGGUCAGGUUUUCAUUUCUGAUCCCACUCCUGUGUCUUGUCGUGGCAUCAAGUGCUUCAGUAGGCUGCCGAGUAUUCACACUUGGUUGUCCUGAAUCUGUGCCAAGUACAUUGUGGGCUAUAUAGACAGCUUAAAUCUCUUCUGGAAUUGUGGCAAACUUCUUGUAAAGACGGUCUCCACCUCAGUGCACAAGGGUCACAUCCCCUCAUCCGACAGUAAAUUACAUCAUCAAGACAACAAACUACCAGUGGACAGGUAUACCAGUGCAUUUGAUCCCACUCACUGAAAAAAAAAAAAAAAAAAAAACUUCCAUGUAGGUCCUUAUCGGCACUCGCACCUGCUAUUCCUGUUAUAUUUUCUGAAAGGUCAGUUAACAUAAACAGAUGUAUUUCUUAAGCUUAUUUCGAUAACCUCAUCCCCAUCAUGCUCAAUCAUACUACCUCACACCCCAGGGACUGCCUCACAUGCUCUUAAUUUUGCCUUAUUGAAUGUCUCUCUCCUGACAAAUAAGUCAUUUAUGGUCAGCAAACUGACUGGGGAUAAUGACCCUGAUACCCUUUUUAUUACUGAAACAUAGCUAGAUGCAAAUAAUUUUUUCACAUGGUGCAUCACCCCCCAAUUAUAACUUUCUGCAUGCUGCAAGGCAGGGCAAAAGGUGGGGGAGUAGCAGCCAUUUUUGAAUUUCUUUCUGUCAAUCUACAGUGUGACAUGUCAGUCCUGCUUCUGAUAAUGUACCAACCACCCAAACACAACUCUGAAUUGUGACUUUGCAGAUCUGCUAUCAAAUAUCUGUAUUGAUUAAACCAAAGUAAUUAUUUCUGGUGAUAUCAACAUUCACAUUGAUAAUUCCGCACCGUCCACCAGAGUCUGUUUUAAUGAGCUAUUGCACUCAUUUGACUUGACCCAACAUGUUAUGGAGCCAACUCAUCAGCACGGACACAUACUUGACCUUGACAUUUCCAUUUAUACUGAUAUCAGAGUAAGCACUGUCAGUGAUGUUGCACUGUCAGACCAUUACUGUGUUUGCUUAGGUGUACUCUUAGCUGUUGGUCGAGCUAUCACCAGUAGACAUGUCAUUUCACAUGAGAUCUUCACAUCUUCAUCUGAGAGCAGCAGUUGUGAUAAAGCCGAUUGCUUUAAUUCUCCUCUGUUAAACAGCAGCAAUAAUGCUACACCACUAAGAUCUAAAAAAUCUCUAGCAAAUGUGAAGCCCCAUUGAGAAAUGCUGAGAUCAUAAAAGAGCUCAAAAGAGACUGCCAAAAAGCUGAGAGGAGGUGGAGAAAAUCAAAACUACACUUUGACAGGGACGUUUUCAAAAACACCUUCAGGAACUACAACAGAAGCUUGAAACAUGCCAGAAAAGAACUCUUAUUGACGCCCACAAAAAUGAUCCAAAACAAUUUUUCUCAAGCAUUGAUAAACUCAUUAGCCCCUCCCGUUGUUUCCUCUCAUACUUUCUCAACUGCCAAAUGCAAUGAAUUUGCAUCAUUUUUCAAUGACAAAAUUCUUAACAUCAGGUGCAAUAUCCCAAUUAGUAACUUCACUGCUAACUGUGACAUACCUCCGGGGAUUGCCCAUUGGUCUGAAGGCCCAUUAUUCCAAAACCCCAAUAGUUUGAGAAAAUGCCCCAUUGGACCGAAGGCCCAUAGUCCAACAGCCUGUUAUCCAGAAAACAAAAGCCCACUGCUCUGAAGUCCUGUUCUGAAAAUACACACUCUGGAGUUGGAAUUGAGUGACUGCUGGCCUUAAUUCUUUACAGACUCCACUAACAUAUUGCUCAAUUUGACAGAUAAUGUAUACAUCAUAAUGUAAACCACAAUGUAUAACUUUAUAUAACUCCUAAAGAAAGACUUUUGAUUUCUGCUGAUAUUUAACUUUAACAGCUCUUCAGUGAAGUUUGCAGUCUGUUUGACAUUCCAAAACACCAGUCAGCAUGUCCACACAAUUUUUAUAAAAUGUGAUUUCAUUAAAUUAGAGUUCUGCUUUGUGAAACAUAAGGCCAAAUUUAUCAGAAGAAUUGAGUGAAUUGUGAAGUCUGUUUGAUGAGUUAAUUCACAUUUUAAAUGACUGACAAUGAGGUAAAUAAAAUCUUCAACUGUUUCCUAAUAUUAGAGGAAAACCUCUGUUAACAUCUUGUUAAAUUUAACAGAGCCAAGCUUACCAGUAAACAUCUAUUCCUUCUAAAAGAUAACUUAUGACUUCUUACUGCAGCAGAAGACGUCAGUAAUAUAGGAAAAAGUCAGUUUUGUCAGGUAAUAAACAUUAUCAAUUUCAGAUAACCAAUAAUGACACAUUGCCAUUAUUUAUGGUAAGGUGCUCCGAUUAGGCUUUCUCUAUCAUCUUUUGCCUUUAAUAUCUUAGUGUAUUUUGAAAUGCUUGAUAAAAAAUAAUUAUGUUUUUGAUGUGACAAUGUUGUGGAUAAGGUCUGGUUAGGUUUAGGCAAAAAAAACACUUGGUUAGGGUUAGGGAAAGAUCAAGAUUUGGAUUAAAAUGAUCCCUUGCAUGUCAAGGGUCUCUGUAUUUUCGGAGCAACGGGCCUACGGAGCAGUGGGCUUUUGUUUUUCGGGAUAACAGGCCAUUGGACCAUGGGCUUUCAGUCAAUUGGGAAGUUUCGGAAUAAAGCGCCAUCAGGCCAAUGGCAUGGCACCAUACCUCCACCAUUGCGUGUUGACAGUCUCCGGCAUCUCACUGAUGCUAUAAAUUGACUGAAGUCCUCUACCAGCCCCCUUGAUCCACUCCCAGCAUCCUUUUUUUAAAUUUAUUUUUGAUUUUUUAACAGAUGACAUUUAGUCAAUAGUAAACUGUUCUCCUGAGACUGGUAUCUUUCCCCAUUGCAUGAAAACUGCAGCUAUUAGACCACUUCUAAAAAAUAACAACCUAGACCCAAAUGCACUUAGCAACUAUGGGCCAAUCUCCAACCUCACCUUCCUGAGUAAGAUUAUCAAAAAGGUUGUAUAUUAGCAACUGAACUGCUAUCUUACAGAUAAUAAUAUUUACGAUGAAUUCCAGUCUGGCUUCUGCAUGUCUCAUAGCACAGAAACUGCUCUUUUAAAAAAACCUCAGUCCUAAUACUCCUAUACCUAAGCUCUGCAUUCAACACGGUGGAUCAUGGGACCCUGCUAGAAAGGCUAAGAAACUUGGUGGGUCUGUCUGGCAUAGUUCUCCAGUGGUUUGAAUCCUACCUGCAUAAUCGAAAUUUCAUUGUCACACUUCAAGACUUCCACUCCAACAAACACGAAUUAGUGUGUGGGGUCCCACAGGGCUUCAUCCUGGGUCCUCUUCGUUUCCCCUUGGCUACAUUAUCAGCAAACAGAACUUUAGCUACCAUAAUUAUGCUGAUAACAUGCAGCCUCUCAUCUCACUAUCCAACCCAUAAACUCCCUAGUCAGUUGCUUGGAAGAAAUUAACCACUGGAUGCCUGCAAACUUCCUUCAGCUCAACAGGGAGAAAACAGAUCAUGGUUGUGGGUGCUAAAGCCCAGGUCUGUGAGUGCCUGGAGUCCAGCUCACUAAAAAAAAGUGAGCAGAUUAAAAACCUAGGAAUAACCAUGGAUGGUGAACUCAAUUAUAGGGAUCAUAUCACCAGCAUCAUGAAGGUUGCAUUUUUCCAGCUCAGAAACAUUUCCAAAAUCAGAGGCUUUCUUUCCCAGUCUGACUUAAAGAAACUCAUGCGUGCAUUUGUCAUGAGCAUGCUGGACUAUUGCAGUUCUCUGUUUACUGGUCCUCCAAACAAAACAAUCGAUAGACUACAACUCAUCCAGAACUCAGCCACACAAGAUCUAAGAAAAAUUACUAAAAAAAAAAAAAAUUACUACAAAAUCAAACCACAUAACUCCGGUCCUCAAGAACCUUCACUGGCUACCUGUUGUUUUCAGAAUACAAGACAAAAUUUUUCUCUUGGUUUGCAAAGCGUUUGGUGGUCUGGGUCCAUAGUAUAUUUCAGACAUGCUGUCCAUUUACAAUACAACCAGAUCUCUUUAUUCACCAGGUGGAAAUCUCCUCCAUGUGCCUAGAGCGUUUUCAAAGUCUGAUGAGAUGGCAUUCAGCGUUAAUGCACUUAAAGAAUGGAACAGUUUGCCUGCUUAUCUUUUACUUUCUCCAAUGCUGCGUUCUUUUAAAACCAAACUAAAAACCUUCCUUCUCAGUCAAGUAUUUUCUUAAAUGAACAGAACUGUAUUUUUACAGUGUGUAUGUUUGUAUGUGUGUAUGUAUGUAAAUGGUAAAAUGGAGUGCACUUAUAAAGCGCCUUUCAAGUCUUACGACCACUCAAGGCGCUUUACACUGCAUGCCAACAUUCACCCAUUCACACACACAUUUAUACACUGAUGGCUAGCAUGCAAGCUUCCAACCUGCUCAUCAGGAGGGGAAUCUAAUGCAUUCACACACGCUCACAUACCAAUGGCACAGCCACUGGAGGAGCCAGGAUUCGAAGCGCCAAUCUUCCGAUUAGCAGACGACCCACUCUGCCUUCUGAGCCACAGCCGUCCCACAGCAGUCUGUAUAUAUGUGUAUGUAUGCAUGGAUGUUUCUGUUUAUAAGCACAUUUUUGCUGUUUUAUCUUGUUUUUAUGUAAAGCACUUCAAACUGCCUUUGUAUGAGAUAGUGCUAUACAAAUAAAAUUUGAAUUGAAUUGAACUGAACUGAACUGAACUGAAUUGUUCCAUUUGAUCUCUAAAUGUGAGGCCAGACACCCUGCCAAGGAAACUUAUUUUGGCCGCUUGUAUCAAUUAUCUAAUUCUUUCGGGCAUUACCCAAAGCUCAAGACCACCAAGAAGAUCAGCUUGUAAAUCAACAGCUUUGUCUUCAGGCUUAGCGCUCCUACUCACAACAACAGUCCUGCACAACUGCAGUAAUCUGCCUGUCGAACCUACGUUCCAUCUUACCCUGUCUUGUCAGCAAGACCCCAAAAUACUUAAACUCCUUCUCUUGGGGCAUUGAGUCUAAACUCCCAGGAACAGUUCUGGGCUGUGAGGCAAUUUUGGCGUAGUGCAGUAUCAAUGACACACACUGGCCAAAAAAGGCUUUUCCCAUACACCCGGAAAUUACCAUUUUGUCAGAAUUUUGUUCAAUAAUGUAAGCAAGCAAAAAGAAAAAAAAAAAAACAGACUGUUUUCGUGACAGCCCAACUUGUAUUGUGAUAUGUAUUCAUGUCUUGCCAACUGAUACAGAACCGUUUCCUUGUACAAGGAGCAAACAGGAGGUCAACUAGCUCGGUCAGAGGAAGUCUCUAAUACACAUGCUCUAAACCAGCUCGGCUGGAGAGGGACUGUAGUGCACAUGCUCCAUGCUCUCGUGGAGACUUUUUCGGCAUAUGCACCCAGUGGGCAGCUGAGGGAGGAAUGGGCACCAUGUUGGAGCACUAUAUCCAGUUUUUCUUAAUAGAUCCAUGCAUUAACUCACUUCUAACCAAAAGGACGCAAUCCGCAGUUUUCUGGCAGAGUACUAUGGCCUCAGACUUGACUCUCACCCAUGGCCCAGCAGAAAGAGAUAUUCAUUCCUGAUGCCACUGUACCGGACAGCCACCACACUUUAGCAGCUCCUGGAGAUUUUGUCCAAACAGAAUUGAUGACCAGGCUCAACCCUGGUGCCAAAGGCCACCGCCUUUGAGACUUCCUGUCAUGUUGGAGUUACGCAACAAUUGCAGCUUUAUUCCAAACAUCCCACAUGUGAAACACAUCACUUUGUGUUCAACAGAUGACUUUUUUUCCCCAGGAAACAUCUUCCAGACACUGGAUAUGUUUGUAGAACUACAAAUGGAAAAGCUUUGAAUUGGCUACAGGUUGGAUCACUACUGUGCAAUUCAAAUCAGUGACAGAGAGAAGAAAAACACACAUUUAUUGAUAUAAAAGUGUCACAAUUUAUCACUUUACUGCUUUGUCACUUGUACAUCCACCUUGGGGAAGCUGCAGUGAAGAGAAGAGGAGAGGGAAGAGGAAGACAGGGACGAGAGAUGCCCUCAACCCAACCUCCUCCUCUGUUUCUCCUUCACUCAGCGUCCACCCCUGUCGCCGUCGUCCCUGUCCACAUUCCGGCUGCCUAUUAGAGGCACUGGGGGCACAUUUCCUGACAGAUAAUUUGUUAAGUAAAUGAAACAGAUGUCUUGUU